GGCGAGGCGAGCGGGCGGGAGGGGGCUCCGAGGACGUAAACAAGGCGUCAGGGUGCGGGCGGCCGUUGGGGUGGGCGGCAGCCGUUGGUCUUUUGCGCACGGCCCCGCUCCCUUCAGGCGUUCGGCGGGCCCAGGGAGCCUCCCCCAGCCGCCCUCUGGUCCCAAAAUGCGGGUGUUUGCACCCGAAAUUCGGCCGUUGGGGCUCUGUCUGGCGGCGCCGAGGCGGCCGCGCUGCCGUUGUAUGGCGAGUGAAAAGCAAAAGUCCUUUUAUUUUGGGGUGAAUGGACACUUGUGUGCCGUAAAAUUUUCUUCUACAUUAAGUGUUUUUUCUUCUAGAUAAAAUGUCGUGCCCUCAAAACGCAGGGCUGGAGGUUGCCAGAGGCACAGAUGUAACUCAAAAGCUGUGCCACCUUUUAAGUCUAGUAUCUGAGGGAGCAGAACUGCUUCUAGCCCUUCAUCUACCUCCGCAGUGCUUUCAUCGUCUCUGAAUCUGUUCUUUCCACUGCCAGCCUCUCCAGUGUCCAAAGAGGCAGUCAGUGGGCACGGGAGCGCAGCACUUCUGUGACCUUACCUGCAAACUUCUGCAGCCAUGAGCAGAGAGUUGUUCUGCCCUCCUGUGCAGUAUGGCAGCUCAUAGUCACUCAGCAGACAUCGGAGUUGCCGAUCGAUGCAACCCCCAUGGUCUUCACCUUCUUAAUAAAAGUCCCUGCACCAAAGUUGGAUUUAAUUGGAGUUAGGGGGCUGUGUAUUGUAUAUCAGUCACCAAUUGUAAAGGGAAAUCAAGAUCCCCUCUUCGUGUCUCUUGAUCUUUCACCAGACUAGAAGAACCUGUAGUUCCUAAAGCUGGAGUGGAAAGUGACCUGUUGUGUUUGUGGAAGCUCUGGAAUCCCGCAGGAGAAGGAUCACUCAGCACCAUGGCGAUCUGCCAAGUACAACUUGUUCCGAAACACAGUGGCUCUGAGAAGUUGCAUUAUUAACUGAAACACAAUGUCGGCAUAGCAGGAGAUGAAAAAGACGGAGACUGAAGUACAGAACAGCUCUUAUUCACAAACAUUUUCAAAAUGGAUUAAAUAUGUUCCUGGCUGACCCUUUUGCAUGGAGGUGGGGGCAGGGAGCAACAUCAGUCUAGACAGAAGAGGCCAGCGACUGGCUGUCCACUCAGGUUUCAGAUUAUAAAUGAAUAGUGUUCAAUUUCUCACAGAUGUUUGGCAGCCGCUUUGCUUUCACUCUAAUCACGAGCAGGAUUUCUUCUGCCUGAAGAAAGCAGUGACCGAUAGACACACACAGACAUAGAAUAGUCCACCUCUAGAGCUCUGGUGCUGAUGAUUCCAUGAGCUGUGUUUUCAAACUAUCAGUUAGAAAAUAAGUUCUUUAAAAGUGAGAUCACUAGCAUUAUAGUCUUGCUAAAUAUAUUAAAGUAUUCAGACCCAGCACAUCUUCAUUUAAAGGCUGGAGGGUUGAGUGUUUGUUUCAUAUGGAAUGUUAAUUGUCAGCAGGUUUACUUCAGGGAUAAAUUUAGUCCUUUAAAUCUCAAGUCAGACUAUAUCUGUAAAGACUCUUCAAGGAUUAGGUGCAAGUUAUCACCGUCUUCUCCAAAUUGUAAAAGAAAAAUAAAUUCACUUAAUGUUAACUGAAGUAAACAGAAGAAGGAUAUUAUAUGUUGAAUGCUUUUAACUGUGAGAAUAUCAUAGAAUAUGCAUAUUAGAGCAGGCAACAAAAUAUGAUGUAAGAACGAUGACAGCAAAAGAGGCCCAGUGACA